CACCGAACCGGCUGGCGCGCCCGAGCCCGUGCCGCACUCCGUCCUGGAAAGACUCGAGAGUUUGCACGAGAGCAUCGACGACAUGUGGUGGGGCAUGCGGCGAGAGAACUUCAACACCCAGUGGAGCGUCGGCAAGCACAUGUACGAGGUCAAGGCGGGUAUGGAAGGCAUGGCCGCCACCAUACGGAGUCUGCAGGCGGAGGUGCUGCGCCUGCGCGAGGAGAACCAGUACCUCGGCUGCAAGUUCUGAGUGGCGGCUCGCCUCCAGACCGGCUCCGUCCGUUUCCGGCUGAAAUCCCGAGAGUUGGUCGGCUCCGCUGUCGGCAGACACCGCGGCGUGCGCGGUGCGCGCAGCUCGGCGGCUGAGAUGGGGGGGGGGGG
rnacentral:lncRNA from 1 species